rnacentral:rRNA from 1 species
UACGGAGGGUGCAAGCGUUAUCCGGAUUUACUGGGUUUAAAGGGUGUGUAGGCGGGGCUUUAAGGCAGUGGGGAAAUCUCCGAGCUCAACUUGGAAACUGCCAUUGAUACUAUUGAUCUUGAAUUUUGUUGAGGUAGGCGGAAUAUGUCAUGUAGCGGUGAAAUGCAUAGAUAUGACAUAGAACUCCGAUUGCGAAGGCAGCUUACUAAACAAAUAUUGACGCUGAGGCACGAAAGCGUGGGGAUCAAACAGG